GGCCCAAAUCCGGAGUAAGGUAGAUUAAUAAGGUCACCUGGUCCUACUAUUCCACUGUACUUCAGAAUUGGGCUC
rnacentral:pre_miRNA from 1 species